UGAACGCUACCGGAAGGCUUAACACAUGCAAGUCGAGGGGUAACAGGGAAAAGCUUGCUUUUCCGCUGACGACCGGCGCACGGGUGCGUAACACGUAUGCAACCUACCUCUUACUGAGGAAUAGCCCAGAGAAAUUUGGAUUAAUACCUCAUAACACCACAAGAUCGCAUGAUCUAAUGGUUAAAGGUUACGGUAAGAGAUGGGCAUGCGGCCUAUUAGUUUGUUGGUGAGGUAAUGGCUCACCAAGACUACGAUGGGUAGGGGGUCUGAGAGGACUAUCCCCCACACUGGUACUGAGACACGGACCAGACUCCUACGGGAGGCAGCAGUGAGGAAUAUUGCGCAAUGGACGAAAGUCUGACGCAGCCAUGCCGCGUGAAGGAUGACGGCGCUACGCGUUGUAAACUUCUUUUAUAUACCAAGAAACCUUCGGACGUGUCCGAAGCUGACGGUAGUAUAUGAAUAAGCACCGG
rnacentral:rRNA from 1 species